AGGAUCUCAGCGUUUUUCUGCGGGCAGCUGCUUCCCACCAAGCGGCUGCCUCCAGGCUGCCCUGGGGGCCCCUGCGCCGACUUCUCCAUCUCCCACUCCUCCGGCUGCCGGCUGCUUGGAGCACAGCACCGUCACCACAUAAGUCCCAGUGCCGGGCAGAAGAAGCCGUCUCUUACCAAGAAUGUGUGUUUUAGAAAUCGUGGAAAGGCUGAGAGGAAACAUGGACUCCUUCACCACCCCCAUGAGAACUUCAGACUUUGUUUUAGCCCUACUAGCCUUCGACCAUUGCCGGAGAAAGCGCUACAUCAGCAACAGUUUCGAGGAGGAGUAGGGAGCGGCUAAGGGGAGCCCUUUGGCCCAGCCCUUGAUGGAUAUGCUGGAACCCAAACCCAAAAUCCAACUGCUCGUGAGACACCCUGACGAGCGUGGUGGCCUCUCGUCGUCAACCCGCCUGGAGGAGGAAGGCAAACACAACUUGGGGGAGUCACCGGCAGACAAGGUGAAAGGAAAAGAUGUCGCUCAGCUCAAUGAUGCCUUGCUUGAGGACCCGGAGGCCCUGAACAGCAUUGCAUCAAGCAGCGAAGAUGAACCGGGCCUGCCUUUUUUUUGUUCAACGCUGAUAUAAAUUGUUGAAGAGAACUCCAAGGAUGAUAACUAUGAGGAGUUUAGGAGGAGGCUUGGCAUGAAACUAACUGAGCCAGUGCCAUGUCAAGAGCGUAAAAAAGUCAUGCGGACUAUUGUACACGUUGCUGUUUAUGCUGUCCUUAAUCACUGUCUUAGGGAAAAGCUUUCAGAAGAUUGUGAGGGCUGUGUCAUAGAUGCGCCAGGCCAGCAGCACCAUGACUGUGUGACUUGGACUUCAGUGGAUAUAAACUGCAAGCUCUGGGGCCUGUGUGCUGAGCUGUGUAUGGAAAGCUUAUUAAACACUCUUAUUGCCAUAGCUUAUGCUAUGCAAUGUCUGUGCUUAACUCAAGAAUAUUUAGCGCAUGGGAUGACCUUGAUAAAUGCUGUGCAAUUCAGUGGAGACCCUGACCGUGUUUUAAAGAAAAUGACCAAACUGGAAGAUGCCUGCUUACAGCGUUAUAUUGAUUGUCUGGUCCACGCAAAAAGUUACAGAACCCUGCUUAAGAAAAAGACUAUUUGUAAGAAAUCUAAAAGGAUUAAGUUAGAGAAUGGUGAGGGGACAAACAUGCAAUAUAAAACUUGGUAGCUGUAAAUAAAAAAAAAUCUAUUGAAAAGGGCUUUGUGACUAUCUGUGUUUCUGUUAGGUCUCUGUGGCCCUUAAGUGAGCUAAAAGUUUUA